rnacentral:rRNA from 1 species
GCAACAUCGGUCCAAUCCUUAAAGUCAUCCUCAGUUCGGACUGGGGUCUGCAACCCGACCCCACGAAGCUGGAUUCGCUAGUAAUCGCGCAUCAGCCAUGGCGCGGUGAAUACGUUCCCGGGCCUUGUACACACCGCCCGUCAAGCCAUGAAAGCCGGGGGCGCCUGAAGUCCGUGACCGCGAGGGUCGGCCUAGGGUGAAACCGGUGAUUGGGGCUAAGUCGUAACAAGGUACC